rnacentral:rRNA from 1 species
GACGAACGCUGGCGGCGUGCCUAAUACAUGCAAGUCGAACGCAGUGGUGCCGGGUGAGUAACACGUGGGUAACCUCCCAUCAGAGGGGAUACCACUUGGAAACAGGUGCUAAACCGAUACAGAUGGAUGGACCGGCGGUGCAUUAGCUAGUUGGGGAGGUAAAGGCUAACCAAGGCCACGAUGCAUAGCUGACCUGAGAGGAGGAUCGGACACACUGGGACGGAGACACGGCCCAGACUCCUACGUGAGGCAGCAGUGGGGAAUAUUGGGCAAGGGACGAAAGUCUGACCGAGCAACGCCGCGUGAGGGAAGAAGGUUUUCGGAUCGUAAAGCUCUGUAGUGAGAGAGGCGUUAUCUACCCAGGAAGCAACGGCUAACUCCGUGCCAGCAGCCGCGGUAAUAC